rnacentral:lncRNA from 1 species
UGAUGUGCUUGAUUGUUUGUAUUCUAUUUGGCUAUAGAUUUAAGGUGAUUUUUUUUACAUGUGUGCUGUACUUGAUUCUUUAUUGUUUGUUUGUGUUUUCGCAUAAAAUAAGAAAAAGAAUAAUGUUUGUCUUGAACUGUGAUAUCUUGUUAAAAAUGGACCUUUUUCUACUAAAGCAUAUGAGCUAUGGGCCUUUUUCUGGAAUGAAUUGAAUGUAGGAUCGGACCAAAAAC